rnacentral:ncRNA from 32 species
AUAAGGAAAGGGUAAGCGAGGUGUAAUUCCUCCACAGUGCCGCUACCGUAAAGUCGGAAAACCACCUUAUGCAGUUCCCGGGACCAGGAAAUUAUUAAGCUUCU